rnacentral:rRNA from 1 species
GAUGAACGCUGACAGAAUGCUUAACACAUGCAAGUCCACUUGAAUUUGGGUUUUUAACUUAGGUUUGGGUGGCGGACGGGUGAGUAACGCGUAAAGAACUUGCCUCACAGCUAGGGACAACAUUUGGAAACGAAUGCUAAUACCUAAUAUUAUGAUAAUAGGGCAUCCUAUAAUUAUGAAAGCUAUAAGCGCUGUGAGAGCGCUUUGCGUCCCAUUAGCUAGUUGGAGAGGUAACGGCACACCAAGGCGAUGAUGGGUAGCCGGCCUGAGAGGGUGAUCGGCCACAAGGGGACUGAGACACGGCCCUUACGCCUACGGGAGGCAGCAGUGGGGAAUAUUGGACAAUGGACCGAGAGUCUGAUCCAGCAAUUCUGUGUGCACGAUGAAGUUUUUCGGAAUGUAAAGUGCUUUCAGUUGGGAAGAAACAAAUGACGGUACCAACAGAAGAAGUGACGGCUAAAUACGUG